rnacentral:rRNA from 1 species
UGGGGAAUAUUGCACAAUGGGCGCAAGCCUGAUGCAGCCAUGCCGCGUGUAUGAAGAAGGCCUUCGGGUUGUAAAGUACUUUCAGCGGGGAGGAAGGGAGUAAAGUUAAUACCUUUGCUCAUUGACGUUACCCGCAGAAGAAGCACCGGCUAACUCCGUGCCAGCAGCCGCGGUAAUACGGAGGGUGCAAGCGUUAACCGGAAUUACUGGGCGUAAAGCGCACGCAGGCGGUUUGUUAAGUCAGAUGUGAAAUCCCCGGGCUCAACCUGGGAACUGCAUCUGAUACUGGCAAGCUUGAGUCUCGUAGAGGGGGGUAGAAUUCCAGGUGUAGCGGUGAACUGCGUAGAGAUCUGGAGGAAUACCGGUGGCGAAGGCGCCCCCCUAGACAAAGACUGACGCUCAGGUGCGAAAGCGUGUGGAUCAAACAGG